CCCUAAAUCUAGAGACCUCAAAGGUGGCGCCCAUCUCCAACUGGGUUCGCCUCGUUGAGCUUGCCAAACUCGCCCGAGUAUUCAGACGAGUUCAUCUAACUCGUCACAUGGUCUCUCCUCCUCUCUCUCCAACGUGGCAUAACUGUCUCUGACAGAAUAUUUUCAGCGUUUUGCCAUCUUCACGCGCUCUUGAUUUCGAGGGAUAAAUCUCGGGUAAAUGGGAGCGGUUGGAUGUGAGAAAUCACAUCCACGCCUUCCAUUUUGUCCGAGUUUUGUUCCUUGCGGAGAUUUUGGUGGCUUUUUUGGAAUUGGGGAUAAGAUUCGGGGAAUUUCUUGGAGGUAAAGCCAGAAGGUUCGAGAAGCUUGAAGUAUAUUUGAGACCUGAGGUUAUUUCAAAAGACCAAAAAAAGAUACUCUGUUUUCAUGAUCAUUCCGGAUUCUGGUUCUAAUGUGGAAUUCGAUUGAGCGGAGGCUGUUUUGAGUUCAUCGUCAUUGUUGUUCGUCGUAGAUUCCCGUCGAGGUAUCCUGGUCUUCAUUGAUUCAUUUGGUUUUGGUUCUGAAAUCCUUUGUUGUGGAUUCAUUUGGUUUUGGUUCGAGUGAUCCGCUGUAAUCGCCAAACUUUGUUAAUUGAAAAGGUGAUUUCAGGUACUAGUUUCAUUUUCGAAAUUAAGUGAUAUCGAACUACCCUGUGCUAUGAAUUGAAUAAAGUCUGCAUAUGUCCCUGAAUACUUCCUUGUUACUAUGAUGAAAUCUUAGCUCUCUUUUCUUCCUCCCUGUUCUUUCCAUUUGUUAUGAUCGACUGGAUUUUAUAUCCAUUUUUCUGUUUCUUUUAACAUCAGUUGGAAUGUUUAAGAAUUUAUCUGAAGUAUUUGAUUUAGUCAUUUCUUAAACAUGCUGUUUGGAAUAGCAGGGCAAAAAUAAGUAUGAAAAUCGAUCGUGUGUUUUCUAGGAAUACGAGUUGUAUAUUAUUUGUUUCCUUUCUUUGCAAAACAUCUGCUCCCAUGAGAUUGUCUGGAAGAACAUGGGUUGCUGCUUGAUUGCCUGCUGUUAGCAUUCUCUUAGUUUACUUGUAGUAGCAUGUUGUUGGAAUCUAGAUUAGACAACAUCUUCGUUUCUUUUCAGCAGUGGCAUUAAUAGUGAAACUCGUGUGAUUUAAGUGUUAAAGUUGUGUUGAUUUAGUUGUAACUGCUGCUCUGUUUCAGUCCGUGUAAUUGCCUCGGUUUGAUUAAUCAGAAAACUCUAACUUCAGGCCUAUCUCAUUCUUCUUUUUAACAUCACUGAUUCUCCAUGUGUGGUGAGAGCUGUUCGAAUUUGGUAGUUCUCUUGUUGAAGUUUAGUAGUUCUCUUGCUCUUUGAUUGAAAUAAAUCAUUGUUGGAACUUAGAUUUCCUUGGUACAUAAUUCUAUUAAAUCAGGCAACGCUUUGCUUGAUACCACAUGCUUUGUUGAACCAAAAUGGAGGAUUCUGUAGUUUGUUUGUUUUCAACUGAUUUCGUUUCUGGGUAAGUAUAAAUUUGAGUGAUACCGAGCGUGUUAUUUAAUCGAUCAUGUGUUACCCCUGAUUUUGAAAUGUGAUUUUGGCCUGAUUUUCGUACUGAUUUCGGGGCUUUUCACUGUUGUUUUAUGGUGCGAAAUCGGCUUUUUUUUACUCUGAAAAUGGUAGUCUUUUGAGGGGAAGAAGAAGGUGUUCUGGGGGGCCGAUUUUCAGCAGUAAUACAACUGUUUUGGGGUUUCUUUUUGGGUCGUUUGUUUGGUUUCAAGGGCUGUUUUGUUGUUCUUUUGUGCUGGAAUUUCUAGCUACAAUUUUGCUGAGUCUUGGCGAGUUUCGGGGUUGUUUAAAUGGGAGAAAUCUUGUGCAUUUCAAGGGAGGGUAAAGUUUAGUAUUCUUUGAUCAGGAUUCAGUGUGAGUUUUGUCUAAUUUACAGUCAUGGUGUGAAGGAGUUGAGAUGCAUUUGAAUGAAUACUAGCAGCGGUUUUUUAUGAA